GUUCUCCCUUCAGCAGCACACACACUAAACGUGGAGCAGCACAGAGGAGAUUAGCAUGGCCCCUGAGCAGGAGGACACAAACAUCUGUGAUGUAUUCCAUGGUUUU